CUAAUUAUGCAUUUAUUUGUGAAUGAAGGGGGUAAAGUUGAACUCUUCAUUUAAUCCCAAAGGGGAUAAGGUCUUACAUUUGUGUAUCCAUCUGGAUUCUUUCCUUAAUAGGGUGAGAUUAUAAUGACCCUUUCUAGUGUUCAGGUGGAUACGUUCUAAAGCCUGAAACAUAAGAUGAGAAGCAUCCGAGUUAUGGAAGUUCCUUAUGUGAUUGGAGACAGGAGUGGAAAUGUUUAGGUUUGAGACUGAAUUCACAUGUUGUAGGAUUCUCCUUCUCAGUUCUUGGAAGGUUUUUCCUAUAUAUUGUAGUUUGCAG